rnacentral:rRNA from 1 species
UACGUAGGGUGCGAGCGUUAAUCGGAAUUACUGGGCGUAAAGCGUGCGCAGGCGGUUUUGUAAGCCAGAUGUGAAAGCCCCGGGCUUAACCUGGGAAGUGCAUUGCAAACUGUAUUACUGGAGUAUAUGAGAGGGUGGCGGAAUUUCCGGUGUAGCGGUGAAAUGCGCAGAUAUCAGGAAGAACACCCGUGGCGAAGGCGGCUCUCUGGGACGGUACUGACGCUGAGACGCGAAAGCGUGGGGAGCGAACAGG